rnacentral:rRNA from 1 species
AAGACCUUGCGCUUUUGGAGCGGCCGAUGCCUGAUUAGCUUGUUGGUAAGGUAAAAGCUUACCAAGGCUUCGAUCAGUAGCUGGUCUGAGAGGACGACCAGCCACACUGGGACUGAGACACGGCCCAGACUCCUACGGGAGGCAGCAGUGGGGAAUUUUGGACAAUGGGGGCAACCCUGAUCCAGCCAUGCCGCGUGAGUGAAGAAGGCCUUCGGGUUGUAAAGCUCUUUCAGCCGGAACGAAACGGUUACGGAUAACACCCGUGACUACUGACGGUACCGGAAGAAGAAGCACCGGCUAACUACGUGCCAGCAGCCGCGGUAAUACGUAGGGUACGAGCGUUAAUCGGAAUUACUGGGCGUAAAGCGUGCGCAGGUGGUUUUGUAAGUCAGAUGUGAAAGCCCCGGGCUCAACCUGGGAACU